GACGAACGCUGGCGGCGUGCUUAACACAUGCAAGUCGUACGGUAAGGCCCUUUCGGGGGUACACGAACGUCGAACGGGGACGUAACACGUGCGUAACCUUCCCACAACUUUGGGACAACGCUAGGAAACUGGUGCUAAUACUGGUUAUGUGCACCUUCUUCAUGGUGGGGGUUGGAAAGCUCCGGCGGUUGUGGAUGGACUCGCGACCUAUCAGCUUGUUGGUGGGGCAGUGGCCUACCAAGGCGGCGACGGGUAGCCGGACUGAGGGGGUGACCGGCCACAUUGGGACUGAGAUACGGCCCAGACUCCUACGGGAGGGAGCAGGGGGGAAUAUUGAACAAUGGGCGCAAGCCUGGUGCAGCAGCGCCGCGGGCGGGAUGACGGCCUUCGGGUUGUAAACCGCUUUUAGCAGGGACGAAGCUUUUUGUGACGGUACCUGAAGAAGAAGCACCGGCUAACUACGUG
rnacentral:rRNA from 1 species